CCUACGGGAGGCAGCAGGGGGGAAUUUUGGACAAUGGGCGAAAGCCUGAUCCAGCAAUGCCGCGUGAGUGAAGAAGGCCUUCGGGUUGUAAAGCUCUUUUGUCAGGGAAGAAACGGUGAAAGCUAAUAUCUUUUGCUAAUGACGGUACCUGAAGAAUAAGCACCGGCUAACUACGUGCCAGCAGCCGCGGUAAUACGUAGGGUGCAAGCGUUAAUCGGAAUUACUGGGCGUAAAGCGUGCGCAGGCGGUUUUGUAAGUCUGAUGUGAAAUCCCCGGGCUCAACCUGGGAAUUGCAUUGGAGACUGCAAGGCUAGAAUCUGGCAGAGGGGGGUAGAAUUCCACGUGUAGCAGUGAAAUGCGUAGAUAUGUGGAGGAACACCGAUGGCGAAGGCAGCCCCCUGGGUCAAGAUUGACGCUCAUGCACGAAAGCGUGGGGAGCAAACAGGAUUAGAUACCCUGGUAGUCCACGCCCUAAACGAUGUCUACUAGUUGUCGGGUCUUAAUUGACUUGGUAACGCAGCUAACGCGUGAAGUAGACCGCCUGGGGGAGGUACGGUCGCGAGAAGUUAAACGUUAAAGUAAAGUUAGUACGGCGUGAGACGUGACCGACGGACGACGACGAGGGAGGUUAGGG
rnacentral:rRNA from 1 species